GCUGGUCCAAACAGCAGUAACAUGGAGAGAGACCUUGUAGUCUGCAUCUGUCUGCUCUUAGAAAGCCAGUUUACUGCUUCUGUUCUGCUGUCCCUGAAGACUUAAAGUAAAUUGAGAAGUACAAUGACAUAUGAAAAAUUUAGGCUGUUUUGGUUGGCCUCUAACUAACCUGUAGGUUUAAAAUGAGCCAUUUUUCCUCUAAUAUAUCCUUUUUAUGUUUAUUUUCUUUUUUUUUUCCCCUAAUGGGCAUGGAGUACCUGCUUUUUAUAGGCCAGCACCUUGGAAGUGGAAUGUUUUGAGUUAAAGAAUUUUAUUUCUCUUUAGUUAUCUGUUUUGUUCCAGUAAACUGAUGGUCUUUGUAAGUGCCUGAUAUUUGCAAAGAUGCACAAAAACUGUCAGUACAGCUGACUUUCUAGAGCAGACAGAAUCUUCUUUUUGAUUCCUAUGGUUUUGAUGUCAGUCAUGCAAACUCCUUGGUGAUAUUUAAACAACAGAAUAUGAUGAAAUCAAGUAUUUUCAUAAUCAGUGAUUUCUUACUUUGAUUUUUGUCUGACAUUAUUAAAAUGAUUCUUUAAAGAUUAAAUUUUUCCUCUGUGUAUUUGAGAAGGAAAAAAGGGAGGAGGAAGAAUUAUUAGCAGUACUAAGGAAGAAAUGAGAUUGUAAUGUCUCUAUGGAUGAGGAGUUAUUCUUGUUGACAUUUAUUUUCUGUGUUAUGAAGAUGUGUACAAAGUAAACAAAAUGAAGUAGCUGUGGUGGGCUGAGUGGACACUGAAAGUGCCACUGUUUUCUGAGAUGACCAAUGCAAAAACCUGACUAUUUCUUCUCAGCUGAUAAGGAUCAAUGCUGUCACCAGAGAAGGCGGUGAAAAGGAGCUUCAGUAUCUACUUCAGGUCUGCUACGUGUUUGACGUGUUUGAUGGGUUUUCAGAGCAGACAGAUGUGGUUCAUCCGAGACAGAGAGCUUGUACUUGUAAUUUCUCACCUCAAAUGCCAAUUCUAAUGAUUGAGGGCUGUGUGUUCAGUACCAAACACACUUCAUUCUUGGAAUAAAGUGGUCUGCACUGACCCUAGAAUUGCCUUUUUUGGUGUUCAAAGGCAAUUACAGAUUUACCUUUUUGGUGUUAAAAAAUGGCAGUUGCACACAAUUUUUCUUUUGUGGCACCGUCCCUAUGGAGACCCUGGAACAUGCUCUAUGUGCAUUUAAUUAUUAAGAAUUAAUUACCUCAGAGCCAGGCCUAGAAGGUAAGGAUUGAAACAGAAUUAGUUUCAAAUUAGUUAUGGGUUUUGUGGCUUGAAGUGUUGUUAGAAAGUAAGGCAUUACUUUAUUUGCAGCACUGGGAGCGUAUGUGGCCGACAAAACUCCUGCCUCCACACAGACACCAAUACACCACUUUUUCACCUAUUCGUACAUUAUUAACAAACAAAUUAAUAUUUAUUGGUUCUUAAUUACAGGAGUCUCUUUCAUUAGUUAGUAUUCUACCUUCUGUUGCUUAUUAAUUUCCCACUUUCUAUGCUAAUUACGUCCACAUCUUUAGUCUUUCUAGUAUCCUUGUCCUCUGGUAGGGACCUUCCAGCACGUAUACUGAAUUAUUUGUUUAUUCUUUUCUUUAUCUGCUGGUUUCUGCAAAAUGUCCUUAUAGUUCAUUCCAGAUGUCUAGCUUCAAUAGCACAUCUUUCUCAGGCUUUGUUCACUGAACCAUAUCAAAGUUAGUUUAACAAAACUUAAAGUUUUAGCACUUUUCCCAAGCUAUGUUCUCACAAAAGUAGCUUAUAACAAUUUUUUGCUAAACACUGGGUAAAAGUGAUUUAAGACCUAACACAGCAUCUAUAAUUAAUUAAAACAACUAAUCAAAAGGUUAAUUAAAGUUAUUAAAAAUUAGAAAAGUUAUUUCCAACUGUGUGCAGAAUGACACAUUUAUGUAUUAUUUCUGCAACAGUUCUGUGCUUUACAGCCAGGAGUAUUUUUAUUUUUCUGGCAAUUAGUGCUGUGAGGAGAGCAGAAUUUUAGUUUUCACUCCAUUUUGCUUUACAUUGUACUUGUGAAAACGUAGUGUAUCCAUGAAACUUCACUUGUUGCCAUAACUGUGUAGUAUUGCAAGUAAAAAGGUUUUGUAUCAAUAAUUACAAACACACCUCUGAUUAGAUCUAAGAAUAACAAUAACAGCAUGGAAAGAAUGGUUUUAAAGUUUUUCAAGUAGGGCUCUAGACUGCUUCAUUGACACACCUGCCUAUUUACUGCUUUCAGUGAAGUGGUCUUCUGUCUACAGAAAAGACCUGAGAGUUGUGGCCCUGAUUCCUAAUCGUGGUCUACCUGCAUGAAACACUGCUAGAGAUUGUAUUUGACUGUGCAGAAGGGAGGUCCCUGUGACAAAGGAGCCUCAGGGUAUUUAGCACUUCUAAGAAGAACUUGGAGCCGGUUACUGCUGCUUUACCCAAGGGUGUGUCUGUAUGUGCUGUAGCAGGGUGUUCUACCCUGCCCGUGCUGCACACAGGGUCCCUGUGCCCACACACUGCUGCUGCUACGUGGCUGGGACUUAUCCUGUGUUUCCUAGCCUUGGCAUGCAGUCCUGCUGGGACUGAAUAUGUGACACAAAACAGGACAGCGUGGCAUUUGCUUCUUUGCAGUCUCAGGCAGGUCAGUUUUUCUAACUUGUCCUCAGAUAGGUUCUGUCAACCAUGUCCGAGAUGGAAAUGAAAUCAGAAUGAAACCUUCUGACUGAGGGAAGAUGCGUAAGAGAAGAGGGGCUGUGGGGAGUUACCUGGUUCACCUUGACCCAGUGGGCAAGGCACUGGUGCGUCUAGUUUCAGUUUGUUUUUGAAAGGCAUGGUGUGAAAGCAUUGUCAGAUCCCUGGCUAGUAUCUGUGGUGUAGUUGUAUGAAUUAUUCCAUAUGCUGAAGUUCAGCGGGAUGGUCUGUCUGGUGGAGCCAGCUGCCUCCUGAAGGCCUGGGAAGAAGGAAUGUUCCUAAUACUAAAACUGGAGAAGUAAAGGACAAGGGUGCUACAGUCUCUUUUGGGCAUAUCAGCUCUAGUCAAUAGGCUGGGACAUGGUUGAGCUACUUUUGCCUGGUGUAAAUCUGCAGCCCAAUAUGAUAAGGAAGCCAGUGCAGACAGUGGAGGCUGUCUACUAAGCUGCAGGAACCUGGAGGCGUAUACAUCAUACCCUACAUAUGCAGUGAAUUAUGCUGGUGUGAACUUCAAGAAUUGGACACAUGCCCUCCUGAAAAUUCAGGCUGCA